rnacentral:rRNA from 1 species
UACGGGGGGGCAAGCGUUGUUCGGAAUUACUGGGCGUAAAGGGCUGGUAGGCGGCCAACUAAGUCGGAUGUGAAAUCCCCAGGCUUAACCUGGGAACUGCAUCCGAUACUGGUCGGCUUGAAUCCGGGAGAGGGAUGCAGAAUUCCAGGUGUAGCGGUGAAAUGCGUAGAUAUCUGGAGGAAUACCGGUGGCGAAGGCGGCAUCCUGGACCGGCAUUGACGCUGAGGCGCGAAAGCCAGGGGAGCAAAGCGGG